rnacentral:rRNA from 1 species
UGAAUACGAGAUGCUACGGCGUCGAAGCAGUCUAUGUCAUACUUCCAAGAAAAGCUUGCACUGUCAUAAACAAAUAAUGCCUGUACCAUAACCGACACAGGUGGGUAGGUAGAGUAUACUAAGGGGCGCGAGAUAACUCUCUCUAAGGAACUCGGCAAAAUGACUCCGUAACUUCGGGAGAAGGAGUGCCUUAUUUUAUAAGGUUGCAAUAACAAGAUCCAAGCAACUGUUUACCAAAACACAGGUCUCCGCUAAGUCGUAAGACGAUGUAUGGGGGCUGACGCCUGCCCAGUGCCAGAAGGUUAAAGAAGUUGGUUAGCAUCCGCGAAGCUGAUAACUGAAGCCCUGGUGAACGGCGGCCGUAACAAUAACGGUCCUAAGGUAGCGAAAUUCCUUGUCGGGUAAGUUCCGACCCGCACGAAAGGCGUAAUGAUUUGGAUACUGUCUCAGAGAGGGGCUCGGUGAAAUAGACUUGUCUGUGAAGAUGCGGACUACCUGCACCAGGACAGAAAGACCCUAUGAAGCUUUACUGUAACUUGAAAUUGAAAUUGGACUUUACUUGCGCAGUAUAGGUGGGAGGCGUUGAGAAUAUUCUUGCGGGAAUGUUGGAGCCAUCAGUGAGAUACCACUCUUGUAAUGUUAGAUUUCUAACUUUGUAUCAUUAUCUGGUCAAAGGACAGUUUCAGGCGGGCAGUUUGACUGGGGCGGUCGCCUCCCAAACGGUAACGGAGGCGCACAAAGGUUUCCUCUGAACGGGUAGAAAUCGUAUCUAGAGUGUAAAGGCAUAAGGAAGCUUGACUGUGAGACCUACAAGUCGAGCAGGGACGAAAGUCGGUCUUAGUGAUCUGACGGUGCUGAGUGGAAAGGCCGUCACUCAACGGAUAAAAGUUACUCUAGGAUAACAGGCUGAUCUCCCCCAAGAGUUCACAUCGACGGGGAGGUUUGGCACCUCGAUGUCGGCUCAUCGCAUCCUGGGGCGGUAGUACGUCCCAAGGGUUGGGCUGUUCGCCCAUGAAAGCGGUACGCGAGCUGGGUUCAGAACGUCGUGAGACAGUUCGGUCCAUAUCCGGUGUAGGCGUUAGAAUAUUGAGAGGAGCCUUCUUUAGUACGAGAGGACCGAGAAGGACAUACCUCUGGUGUACCAGUUAUCGUGCCAACGGUAAACGCUGGGUAGCUAUGUAUGGAGUGGAUAACCGCUGAAAGCAUCUAAGUGGGAAGCCCACCUCAAGAUAAGUAUUCUCACC